rnacentral:lncRNA from 1 species
GCCGGGGCGUCCCCCGCGGGAGCCCGCAGCCACCCGGGACGCGCAUCCAGACGUGGCGCUUCGGACCGGGCACGCUGCGCCCGGGGGCUCGGCGGACCCCGCGUAGCCGCCGCUUCGGAGCUUGUGCGGCGCGGGCUGGCCAGCGGGGCGGCCAGGGCCCGGCCCGCCUCCCCAGCGCCCGCCCGGCUUCUCCCCCUGGCGGUGGGAGCCUCGGCGGCCGCUGGCGACACUAGGCGCACUGAAGCCCGAGCCGAGCCGAGCCCGAGCCGCCGCCGCCGCCGCCGCUGCUGCGCACCGCUCCCGGGCUCCCUCCCAGCGCGCCGGCCGGGGUGUGGGGGGCGGCGGGCCGGAGGGGCGAGGGCGGGCCAGGGGGCGCACACGGGGGUUGGCGCGGAAGACAGGACCCUCAGCCUCGAGGGAGCCCCUAGGUGACCAGGCAAAAUGGCAGUUCCUUCCAGCUGGUCCUCAGAUGGGCACAUCUAUUAGCCUCUGCUCUUGUAAGAAGUUAGCUGCAGAACCCACAUGUGAAUCCUUGUAGUGCUUUAUCAAAUUUCUACUAUGAACUAAGAACUGAGUGCUAUGGGAGACACAAAGGAGAGUCAGGACUCUGGAGAAGAUCAAAUGGGAGCUUAGAUGUGGAAGCUCUUUGGAAACCAAGAAACACUCUGAAAAUGAAAAGGGUGGAAGAGUAAACUGUUCCUGUUUCUCCAUCUUGACAGGAAGCAGAAGUUCUCCUUAGCUGAUUUUUCUUCUUGCCUUAUACUGGGUUCUUUAACACCAGAACAAAAAUAAAUAAAUAAAAGAAUCUUCCAGAAAUUCAUGAAGAGACUUCAGGUCAGGAAAGCCUGAACUUUCUCAUCCAACACCCGUUCAAGUCGGAGGAUGCUGAUUAAUUCAUGAUGGAAAGGUAUCAAUUUCACAGCCCAGACCUCUACAUUCUUGAAAUGCUCUUCUCAUGGGAGACAUUAAAUAAGCUUUGAAUUAACUCUCUUCUUGGACUAAAAGGCCCUCAGCAUUCCUGUCAAUUUCUACACUCCUGAAGCUUCAUCUGGAGACCUCUGUGGAUUCUAUAACUCAAAGACCCAGGCUGACGGCUGGUGGAAUAGCUACCAUCUCAAACAUGGCGUGAUGCUGCAUCAGAGAGAAAAAUAAGCUCUUGCAUUGACAAUGAAAUGUCUACCCUGUAGUGACUUGUGCUUACUUCCACUCACAAGUGAUUGCCCAGAGCUACUUACCUGGCUCCAAUCUACCACUGGGUCAGACGUUUGCUGAAUUCAGUUCUGAGCUUUUGAACCAAAAGCAGAUCUUCAGAACAAGAAACAAGAUAAUAAAAGAGAAACAUGAAGAAACUGAAGAUGAUUGGAGAAAUAUGAAUCAAGAUGAUUAGACCUAGCAGAGGGCUGGCUGGAUGGCAUUUAUGUUGACAAUGGACUCCUACACAGAGGAUGAUCAUGGUCUAGGACAUAAUAGUCAUUCAAUCAUCAUUUCUUAAAUGAUUUUUUAAAACAAGUGAAUGAAUGACCAAUUAUAUACCUUCCCUGAGCCAAUAAAAUAUAUUAAAAGUAUAGGCCUGGGCACAGUGGCUCAUGCCUGU